GACGAACGCUGGCGGCGUGCUUAACACAUGCAAGUCGAACGGAAAGGCCUCUUUCGGGGGGUACUCGAGUGGCGAACGGGUGAGUAACACGUGAGUAACCUGCCCUUGACUUUGGGAUAACUUCAGGAAACUGGGGCUAAUACCGGAUAGGAGCUCCUGCUGCAUGGUGGGGGUUGGAAAGUUUCGGCGGUUGGGGAUGGACUCGCGGCUUAUCAGCUUGUUGGUGGGGUAGUGGCUUACCAAGGCUUUGACGGGUAGCCGGCCUGAGAGGGUGACCGGCCACAUUGGGACUGAGAUACGGCCCAGACCCCUACGGGAGGCAGCAGUGGGGAAUAUUGCACAAUGGGUGGAAGCCUGAUGCAGCAACGCCGUGUGCGGGAUGACGGCCUUCGGGUUGUAAACCGCUUUCGCUCAUGACGAAGCUUUGUGUGACGGUAGUGGGUAAAGAAGCACCGGCUAACUACGUG
rnacentral:rRNA from 1 species